rnacentral:rRNA from 2 species
AGAGUUUGAUCCUGGCUCAGGACGAACGCUGGCGGCAUGCCUAACACAUGCAAGUCGAACGGAGAAAGUUCAACACCAAGUAUUUCAUCCGCUGAAGUGUAGCGGUAAAAAUUGCGAAGCAAUUUUUACUACGCAUUAAAAGCAUGAACUAACACGGUGGUUGAAGUAUUAGGUGUUGAACUUUCUUAGUGGCGAACGGGUGAGUAACGCGUGGGCAACCUGCCCUCUAGAUGGGGACAACAUCCCGAAAGGGGUGCUAAUACCGAAUGUGACAGCAAUCUCGCAUGAGGAUGCUGUGAAAGAUGGCCUCUAUUUAUAAGCUAUCGCUAGAGGAUGGGCCUGCGUCUGAUUAGCUAGUUGGUGGGGUAACGGCCUACCAAGGCGAUGAUCAGUAGCCGGUCUGAGAGGAUGAACGGCCACAUUGGGACUGAGACACGGCCCAGACUCCUACGGGAGGCAGCAGUGGGGAAUCUUCCGCAAUGGGCGAAAGCCUGACGGAGCAAUGCCGCGUGAGUGAUGAAGGAAUUCGUUCCGUAAAGCUCUUUUGUUUAUGACGAAUGUGCAGAUUGUAAAUAAUGAUCUGUAAUGACGGUAGUAAACGAAUAAGCCACGGCUAACUACGUGCCAGCAGCCGCGGUAAUACGUAGGUGGCGAGCGUUGUCCGGAAUUAUUGGGCGUAAAGAGCAUGUAGGCGGUUUUUUAAGUCUGGAGUGAAAAUGCGGGGCUCAACCCCGUAUGGCUCUGGAUACUGGAAGACUUGAGUGCAGGAGAGGAAAGGGGAAUUCCCAGUGUAGCGGUGAAAUGCGUAGAUAUUGGGAGGAACACCAGUGGCGAAGGCGCCUUUCUGGACUGUGUCUGACGCUGAGAUGCGAAAGCCAGGGUAGCGAACGGGAUUAGAUACCCCGGUAGUCCUGGCCGUAAACGAUGGGUACUAGGUGUAGGAGGUAUCGACCCCUUCUGUGCCGGAGUUAACGCAAUAAGUACCCCGCCUGGGGAGUACGUCCGCAAGGAUGAAACUCAAAGGAAUUGACGGGGGCCCGCACAAGCGGUGGAGUAUGUG